CCAUGCGAGCGGUAAGAGUGCGGCGGGACUUGGAAAUCGAAUCUGUGCUCUGUGAGAGAUCCUAGGAAAGGAAACUGGGAGCCCGGGAGAACUAAAAUUCCCAAUUAAAAGUGAAUUUAAAUCUGAGCUGUUCUUAGACCCAGAAUUUCUUGCCUGAAGGAGGAAUCAGGUCCCCACAAGGAAAGACCCUGCAACUGUAUAAAAAAAGAAUCUAAAAAGAUCAUGACUCCUUCAGUCCUUUCCCAAAGAGACCUAUGGAAAUUUCCUCAGGUAAGUCUGCACCCUGGGGAAAGGGUAAUACUCAAAUAUUUUCAGGUGUGUUGGAUGCAGGGUCACUAUCCAAGUUGAUUUUGAAACUUGGGUAUCUGGAGCCCUAGCCUAAGACUAGCUCAUAGCGGGUGCACCAUGUUAAUGGAUUCCCCCAUCAUUAUUUCCCUGGUCACCAAAUGUAUAAUUGACAUGAACAUACUAGGUAGUUGGCAGAACCUCCACAUUGUUUCCUUGACUGUAAGACCAGAGCUAUCAUAGUGGGAAAAGCCAAAAGGAAACCUCUGAAAUUGCCCAACCUCCCAGCCAAGAUAUCAAAAUUAAAAAAAAAAAAAUUCAUCCUUGAGGGGAAAUGACAAAUAUCAGUACCACCCUUAAAGACCUAAAAGAUGCAGGGAUGAUAGAUCCCAUCAAAUCCACAUUUAAUUUGCCAUCUGGAUCCCACAAAAACCAGAUGGAUCCUGGAAAACGACAGCAAACAAUCAAACUCAACCAAGCAACAAUCUCAAUUGCAGCCAUAGUGCUUGAUGUGGCAUCUUUGCCGGGGUAGAGUCUCAGGCAUAUGGUAUUCAGCUAUUGCGCUGGAUAUGUCAGUCGGAAAAAGCAUCAGAACAGUUAACAUCCACUUGGGACAGACACCAGUGCAUAUUUACAGUCUUGCCUCAGCUUUAAUUAACUUUCUCACUCUCCAGCUGCAAGAUGUGUACUUGAUAUAAGCCCCCAGCUACUGUGCUCUGAAAUCUGUCCCUGUGUUAGUGCUAAUACCACAUUUCCCACUGGCUUCUUGCAGCUAAUAACUGAGUAUGGUGGGGAUACUAAGGGAGGCUCUUUCUACAAAACUGGA
rnacentral:lncRNA from 1 species